UACGAAGGGGGCUAGCGUUGCUCGGAAUCACUGGGCGUAAAGCGCACGUAGGCGGAUCUUUAAGUCAGGGGUGAAAUCCCGGAGCUCAACUCCGGAACUGCCUUUGAUACUGGGGAUCUUGAGUCCGGAAGAGGUGAGUGGAACUCCGAGUGUAGAGGUGAAAUUCGUAGAUAUUCGGAAGAACACCAGUGGCGAAGGCGGCUCACUGGUCCGGUACUGACGCUGAGGUGCGAAAGCGUGGGGAGCAAACAGG
rnacentral:rRNA from 1 species